CGCUAGAGGGCGAGGCGGCCGUACGCGGCGCGGCGGGGGCCGCUGACGGGAGCUCCGUGUCCGCCGCCCCGAGAGCAGCCGCGUUCGACCCGAAGUUCAGCCCGCAACAUCGGCGCUGUCGGAAGGGCCGCUCGGCGAACGCCGGGAGCGUUAGCACCGACGGAGCGGGAUGCAGAGCUGCGAGCGGAUUGCGGGCACCGCGCCGGGAAGAGCCGCCCCACAUUCGGGUACCGACCCUAAACCUGGGCGGCUCUGCCCUCCCGCGGGGCUCCCCUACUGCCCCGUGCGACCCCGGCGGUGUGACGUCACGGAACGGGGCGUGACGUCACCGGCAUCCAGCGAGGGAAGGGACGUGACGUCAGCAUGGCAGCCCCUCGGAGUACGGCUGUCUGUCUUUUUGCUAUGGGGAUUUGGCUCCUGUCAGACGCCGCAAAUAAGUGUUUGUUGGUUUUAAACCAGUUCUGUUGUGUUUGGACCUCUGCGUGUGGAAGUAUUGUUGUUGGCUAUCACUUGCAGUGAAAGCUGGCUUUUUUGUUAUUUAUUUCAGGUGCAGGCGUCAGGCCAGAUUCAUCCCUUGUUAUCCCCUAGGGCUAUAAAUAAAACAGUGAAAACAAGAA